rnacentral:lncRNA from 1 species
AAAGCUGUGUGUGUGUGUGUGUGUCUGCGUGUAUGAAGAAAGUUGCCAGCAGAUCACUUUCGGCUAUUUUUCUGCUCACAGAUGAGGAACUGAACUCACUCCCACAUUCAGUGAGAGCUCUGGCCCAGACAGCUGCGCUGGGAGAAGCAUUGGCUUUCCUCCUGGUGGGCAAGUGCUGCAUUUCUGAAUGACUUUAACAAGAAGUGCUUAAGUGCUUGAGUUUUGCAAAUUGAAGCAAUUGCUUCACAAACAAGCUGGUUCUUGCCUUUGCUUUCUUGCACAGUUUUCCUUGCAGUGUUAUUACCUUGCUCACUGUCCCACGUCACCCUGGGAAGCACAUGAAUCAGAUUAGAAGCUUUCUGCUAAGGGGCUGAAUGGUGUAAGCAAGGAGAUUUUUGCUGAAUUUUAGAGGUGGCAAACUCAGGCUCUGGAGAGGCAUUUGCAGGGAAGGAAGAGAUCCUGAGUUUGCCAGGUAAGUGCGAGGCAGAGGAUGGGGUUAGGAGAUGUUUUGUUGCACCAAAUGAUGCUGAUGUUCCUUGUGCAGCUCUGUUCUUCUCAUCAGAUGGUUGUGAAGCCCAUGCCACAAGGUAGCAGGAGGACAUCACAUGGCUGCUCAUGAGUGCCCAAGCUGCUUCCCGUGGCUCAUGCAAUGUUGGCGAGGAUUUUGGUGUCAGUUCUCCAAGGAGAGCCACAGCAAACUCCUGACCCGGAGCCUCUCAGCAGAUUUCCCAAUGAGUACAGGAGAUACUGGGCGAGGCCUUGCCAAAGCAAAGUGA